AUAAAGAUGGAGCGUGGUAUUGUGGGCGAUGUUGACUAUCCCUUACAACUUGACCCGUUGGAGAUUAUGCGUUUCUUAAGGAUGGAGACGUUAGAUGUUUCCAUAUUGCAGUUCUUUAUAAGAUGAACGGACAGGGUAUAUCAACGUCACCAUGCAAUAUGGCCAAAAACAAUGCUAUCUAGCGCCAUAUAUUUUAAAUGAUCAUUGGAUGUUGAUGGCAAUUUGUCCUCAACUUAAUGAAAUCUAUUGGUUUGAUUCAAUUGGAGGCCCGCCACGUGAUGACAUCAAAGAUAUUGUUGAAAAG